CCUACGGGGGGCAGCAGUGGGGAAUAUUGCACAAUGGGGGAAACCCUGAUGCAGCGACGCCGCGUGAAGGAAGAAGUAUUUCGGUAUGUAAACUUCUAUCAGCAGGGAAGAAAAUGACGGUACCUGACUAAGAAGCCCCGGCUAACUACGUGCCAGCAGCCGCGGUAAUACGUAGGGGGCAAGCGGUAUCCGGAUUUACUGGGUGUAAAGGGGGCGCAGACGGCGAUGCAAGCCAGGAGGGAAAGCCCGGGGCCCAACCCCGGGACUGCUCUUGGAACUGCGUGGCUAGAGUGCAGGAGGGGCAGAUGGAAUUCCUAGUGUAGCGGUGAAAUGCGUAGAUAUUAGGAGGAACACCAGUGGCGAAGGCGGUCUGCUGGACAGCAACUGACGCUGAGGCGCGAAAGCGUGGGGAGCAAACAGGAUUAGAUACCCCAGUAGUC
rnacentral:rRNA from 1 species